rnacentral:rRNA from 1 species
UACGUAGGGUGCGAGCGUUAAUCGGAAUUACUGGGCGUAAAGCGUGCGCAGGCGGUUUUGUAAGCCAGAUGUGAAAUCCCCGGGCUCAACCUGGGAAUGGCAUUUGGGACUGCAAGGCUGGAGUACGGCAGAGGAGACUGGAAUUCCUGGUGUAGCAGUGAAAUGCGUAGAUAUCAGGAGGAAUACCGAUGGCGAAGGCAGGUCUCUGGGCUGAUACUGACGCUUAUGCACGAAAGCGUGGGGAGCAAACAGG